UGGGGAAUUUUGGACAAUGGGCGAAAGCCUGAUCCAGCAAUGCCGCGUGUGUGAAGAAGGCCUUCGGGUUGUAAAGCACUUUUGUCCGGAAAGAAAUGGCUCUGGUUAAUACCUGGGGUCGAUGACGGUACCGGAAGAAUAAGGACCGGCUAACUACGUGCCAGCAGCCGCGGUAAUACGUAGGGUCCAAGCGUUAAUCGGAAUUACUGGGCGUAAAGCGUGCGCAGGCGGUUGUGCAAGACCGAUGUGAAAUCCCCGAGCUUAACUUGGGAAUUGCAUUGGUGACUGCACGGCUAGAGUGUGUCAGAGGGGGGUUAGAAUUCCACGUGUAGCAGUGAAAUGCGUAGAGAUGUGGAGGAAUACCGAUGGCGAAGGCAGCCCCCUGGGAUAACACUGACGCUCAUGCACGAAAGCGUGGGGAGCAAACAGGAUUAGAUACCCUGGUAGUCCACGCCCUAAACGAUGUCAACUAGUUGUUGGGGAUUCAUUUCCUUAGUAACGUAGCUAACGCGUGAAGUUGACCGCCUGGGGAGUACGGUCGCAAGAUUAAAAGCUCAAAGGAA
rnacentral:rRNA from 1 species